rnacentral:rRNA from 1 species
GACGAACCGAGCGAACGUUGUUCGGAAUCACUGGGCUUAAAGGGCGCGUAGGCGGGCUGCCAAGUUUGGGGUGAAAUCCUCCGGCUCAACCGGGGAAGGGCCUCGAAUACUGGCGGUCUGGAGGGAGGUAGGGGCGUGCGGAACUGUAGGUGGAGCGGUGAAAUGCAUUGAGAUCGGAAGGAACGCCGGUGGCGAAAGCGAUCGACUGGACCUCUUCUGACGCUGAGGCACGAAAGCCAGGGGAGCAAACGGG